AGCUCCAAUAGCGUAUAUUAAUGUUGUUGCAGUUAAAAGCUCGUAGUUGGAUAUAGAGCCUUCCGCAUCGUGCUCCCACGUGUGCAGCCUUUGCGGGAGCUCACCUUCCCGUUGUUUCGAUCUUGACGUUUGUCUUGGUGGUUACAAUUGGGAUCAGUUACUUUGAAGAAAUUUGAGUGUUCAAAGCAGGCUUACGCCGUGAAAAUUGCAGCAUGGAAUAACAACAUAGGACUCUCUUGGUCUUUUUGUUGUUCAGCCAAGGAGUAAUGAUUGAUAGGGACCGUUGGGGUGCUACUAUUAA
rnacentral:rRNA from 1 species